AUCGUGCACGUCUAUCAUGCAGUCGACGCUUCUUUCCUCCCGAGUGCUUGCACUCAAUUGGAAAGAGGAGUGGCGGACGGGUGAGUAACACGUGGGUAACCUACCCAUCAGAGGGGGAUAACACUUGGAAACAGGUGCUAAUACCGCAUAACAGUUUAUGCCGCAUGGCAUAAGAGUGAAAGGCGCUUUCGGGUGUCGCUGAUGGAUGGACCCGCGGUGCAUUAGCUAGUUGGUGAGGUAACGGCUCACCAAGGCCACGAUGCAUAGCCGACCUGAGAGGGUGAUCGGCCACACUGGGACUGAGACACGGCCCAGACUCCUACGGGAGGCAGCAGUAGGGAAUCUUCGGCAAUGGACGAAAGUCUGACCGAGCAACGCCGCGUGAGUGAAGAAGGUUUUCGGAUCGUAAAACUCUGUUGUUAGAGAAGAACAAGGACGUUAGUAACUGAACGUCCCCUGACGGUAUCUAACCAGAAAGCCACGGCUAACUACGUGCCAGCAGCCGCGGUAAUACGUAGGUGGCAAGCGUUGUCCGGAUUUAUUGGGCGUAAAGCGAGCGCAGGCGGUUUCUUAAGUCUGAUGUGAAAGCCCCCGGCUCAACCGGGGAGGGUCAUUGGAAACUGGGAGACUUGAGUGCAGAAGAGGAGAGUGGAAUUCCAUGUGUAGCGGUGAAAUGCGUAGAUAUAUGGAGGAACACCAGUGGCGAAGGCGGCUCUCUGGUCUGUAACUGACGCUGAGGCUCGAAAGCGUGGGGAGCAAACAGGAUUAGAUACCCUGGUAGUCCACGCCGUAAACGAUGAGUGCUAAGUGUUGGAGGGUUUCCGCCCUUCAGUGCUGCAGCAAACGCAUUAAGCACUCCGCCUGGGGAGUACGACCGCAAGGUUGAAACUCAAAGGAAUUGACGGGGGCCCGCACAAGCGGUGGAGCAUGUGGUUUAAUUCGAAGCAACGCGAAGAACCUUACCAGGUCUUGACAUCCUUUGACCACUCUAGAGAUAGAGCUUUCCCUUCGGGGAACAAAGUGACAGGUGGUGCAUGGGUUGUCGUCAGCUCGUGUCGUGAGAUGUUGGGUUAAGUCCCGCAACGAGCGCAACCCUUAUUGUUAGUUGCCAUCAUUUAGUUGGGCACUCUAGCGAGACUGGCCGGUGACAACCCGGAGAAGUUGGCGAAUGAACGGUCGAAUUCAAUCAAUGGCCCCUUAUGAACCUGGGGCUAACACACACCACG
rnacentral:rRNA from 1 species